rnacentral:rRNA from 1 species
CCUACGGGCGGCAGCAGUGGGGAAUAUUGCACAAUGGGGGAAACCCUGAUGCAGCGACGCCGCGUGAAGGAAGAAGUAUUUCGGUAUGUAAACUUCUAUCAGCAGGGAAGAAAAUGACGGUACCUGACUAAGAAGCCCCGGCUAACUACGUGCCAGCAGCCGCGGUAAUACGUAGGGGGCAAGCGUUAUCCGGAUUUACUGGGUGUAAAGGGAGCGUAGACGGCUGUGCAAGUCUGAAGUGAAAGCCCAGGGCUCAACCCUGGGACUGCUUUGGAUACUGGGGAGCUAGAGUGCAGGAGAGGUAAGUGGAAUUCCUAGUGUAGCGGUGAAAUGCGUAGAUAUUAGGAGGAAAACCAGUGGCGAAGGCGGCUUACUGGACAGUAACUGACGUUGAGGCUCGAAAGCGUGGGGAGCAAACAGGAUUAGAUACCCUUGUAGUC